rnacentral:rRNA from 1 species
AGAACGAACGCUGGCGGCAUGCCUAACACAUGCAAGUCGAACGGGACCUUCGGGUCUAGUGGCGCACGGGUGCGUAACGCGUGGGGAUCUGCCCUUAGGUACGGAAUAACUCAGGGAAACUUGAGCUAAUACCGUAUAAUGACUUCGGUCCAAAGAUUUAUCGCCUAGGGAUGAACCCGCGUAGGAUUAGCUUGUUGGUGAGGUAAGCUCACAGCGACGAUCCUAGCUGGUCUGAGAGAUGAUCAGCCACACGUGGGACUGAGACACGGCCCAGACCUCCGUAGGGAGGCAGCAGGUAGGGUAAUAGUUGGAACUAAGUGGGACGUAAAGGCCU